rnacentral:rRNA from 1 species
GCCUACGGGGCGAGCAGUGGGGAAUAUUGGGCAAUGGGCGCAAGCCUGACCCAGCAACGCCGCGUGAAGGAAGAAGGCUUUCGGGUUGUAAACUUCUUUUCUCAGGGACGAAUAGAUGACGGUACCUGAGGAAUAAGCCACGGCUAACUACGUGCCAGCAGCCGCGGUAAUACGUAGGUGGCAAGCGUUAUCCGGAUUUACUGGGUGUAAAGGGUGCGUAGGCGGAAUAUCAAGUCAGCGGUAAAAAUUCGGGGCUCAACCCCGUCGUGCCGUUGAAACUGAUGUUCUUGAGUGGGCGAGAAGUA